AACGCACAUUGCGCCCGCCAGUAUUCUGGCGGGCAUGCCUGUUCGAGCGUCAUUUCAACCCUCAAGCCCAGCUUGGUGUUGGGGAUCGGCACAAGGCGCCCUCGGGCGCCCGCCGUCCCCUAAAUCUAGUGGCGGUCCCGCUGCAGCCUCCUCUGCGUAGUAGUUUUCUCCUCGCAAGGGCAGCUCGGUGGCGACCUCGCCGUAAAACCCCCAACUUCUGAAAGGUUGACCUCGAAUCAGGUAGGAAUACCCGCUGAACUUAA
rnacentral:misc_RNA from 1 species